UCAGAUGGCCGGGCGGCCGCUCUCCCUGUCAAAAGGGAGGGAGGAAAGUCCGGGCUCCACGGAAGCACGGUGCCGGAUAACGUCCGGCGGAGGUGACUCCAGGGAUAGUGCCACAGAGAGCAGACCGCCUGCCUAAGCCUUCGGGUUCAGCAGGUAAGGGUGAAAGGGUGCGGUAAGAGCGCACCGCGUCUCCGGUGACGGAGACGGCAUGGUAAACCCCACCGGGAGCAAGACCGAAUAGGGAUGGUAGUCGGUCGCAAGACCGGCAGGCCCCGUUUCCGGGCCACCGUCCGGGUUGGUUGCUUGAGGCGUUCGGCAACGAACGUCCCAGAGGAAUGGCCGUCUCCCGAAGGCAACUUCGGGAACAGAACCCGGCUUACAGGCCAUCUGACCUU
rnacentral:RNase_P_RNA from 1 species